AGAGUGAACGCUGGCGGUAGGCCUAACACAUGCAAGUCGAACGGCAGCACGGUAAGAGCUUGCUCUUAUGGGUGGCGAGUGGCGGACGGGUGAGGAAUACAUCGGAAUCUACCUUUUGGUGGGGGAUAACGUAGGGAAACUUACGCUAAUACCGCAUACGCCCUUCGGGGAAAGCCGGGGACCAGCAAUGGCCUGGUGCUGAUAGAUGAGCCGAUGUCGGAUUAGCUAGUCGGUGAGGUAAUGGCUCAACAACGGCGACGAUCCGUAGCUGGUCUGAGAGGAUGAUCACGACCACACGUCGAACUGACGACACGGUCCA
rnacentral:rRNA from 1 species